rnacentral:lncRNA from 1 species
AACCAGGGCACCCCGCGCCGGCUGAGGAGGCCGCACCUCGCCGGACGGCUGAGGGCGGGCGACGGGCGGCGCCGGCGGACGGGCCGCGACGCCAGGGAAGGUCAGGCGGCCCGGGGCGUCCUGCGACUGCCCGAGGUCGGAGGCCCGGAGGACCCGCCGCCGCCUUUGUGUCACCAGCCCCCGCCCCGCUGGACUGGCCCGGGCCGGGGCGGUUGGGCCGGCGCUGAAGAGGCUUGGCCGCCCGGGUCCACCCGUUCCCGGAUCCGCCUCGGCGGCCCCCGCGCCCGCCCAACCCCUGCCCAACCCCUCGGCUCCGCGAGUUUGGGUGAGAAGUGCGGCGGCUUUUCCCAGGGAUGGAGUUUAGAGGACGCUAAUCCUAUGUGCGAGCGGCGGACCCCGCCCGGAUUUCCCGGAGGCGCCCGGUUAGUGAGGCGACGGCGCCCACCCGCGUUCGCGGGCUCCCGACCGCCACUCCCCGGAGCCGCCGGCCCGCCCCAGCCCCGCGCGUCGCCCCGGAGGGCGGGCUGCACUCCCUCCACGCACCUGGCUGGCAGAGCGUCUCCAGGGACAAAAGGUGCCCUGGCAUCAAAGCCGAGCCCCCGCCCCCGCCGGGAUGCUGCCCUCCGGAAGGAGGGGCGCUGCCCCCAAGGUACUCUCCCCGGGCACCCAGGGGGAGGUUCCAUUUCAACCUCCGAUGAAAAACACGGCCCUCCCGGGUAUUUAGGAGGGUCUGAGGGUAAGUGCCAAGAUGGAGAAAACACACCGGCCCCUCACAGAGUAUCUCCUGAGGAAUGACAACUAUCUAGUGGGCAAGGAGGGCUUCCUGCAUAGCAGAGGGCACCCCCUCUGAUCCCCCAACGCCAAGGGAAAAAAAUCACUCUUCACCGGCUCCCCUGAGCCAGGACAGGCUCCAGUGCAGCCACCCACCUUAUAAUUUUCCGCGGAUGCUGCCUUGAUCAGAUAGAUCUGAAGAUGACUUUAAGGACUACAAGCAAAUCUCAAGGGAAAAAUUCAGACCUUGAACAACAGCCUUGAACUUUUUCAGGGUUAGACAAGUACUCCCCUGUGGAGUUUCUGCCCUUAUUUCUUCGUUCUUCUGUUAAUUCUUCCAUAUUUUAACAGAACACAGACCUGCCGAAACGACACAGGAUGGCGCUUUGCUUUUUGUUAGUUCUCCAACCUUCCAAACCCUUGGGGCACAUGCAAGCACUGUGGAAAAACUCCAUUAAACCAAGAGUCAUCUUACUCCAGAUCCCAGACUGCUUGGGAAGUUGGACAUGCAUAUUCCCAAAGAGAACAGUGUUGGAAGGAGACAGGAGAGCAGCUCGGGGGUUGGGGGUAGAGGGUAGGAAAAGAGGGCAAGAUGGAUGACUACCACUCGAGGCCAGCCUCCACUGCCUGUUAGGGCAGUAGAACCUAAGAGCCGGUCCAAGGCAACACAAAAGACAGUGAGGCUAGGUCUUUCAUUGCAGCCAACGAUCAAGAAAGCAACUCCAUCAAAUGACACUGUCUUUUAAAAAAAAAUUUUUUUUUUGAGACAGAGUCUCGCUCUGUCGCCCAGGCUGGAGUGCAGUGGUGCGAUCUUGGCUCACUGCAACCUCUGCCACCCGGGUUCAAGCAGUUCUCCCUGCCUCAGCCUCCUGAGUAGCUGAGAUUACAGGCACGCGCUACCAGGCCCGGCUAAUUUUUUUUUUUUUUGGUGGAGUCGAGGUUUUGCCAUGUUGGCCACGUUGGUCUCGAAUUCCUGACCUCAGGUGAUCCGCCCAUCUCAGCCUCCCAAAGUGCUGGGAUUUCAAGCGUUAGCCACCGCGCCCGACCAAAUGACACUGUCUUAAAUGAUUUAAUGUCUUAAAUCGGGAAAGGAGAGUAAGAGAAAGCACUCAACGGAGUCAGAGGUGUCUUGCAGCCUAGCUCUUUCCACAGACAAGCUACAUGGGCCUAUCAUCUAACCUUUUCAAGCUUCUCCGACUGCUUCUGUGUUGGAGGGAUUUGGGCUAGAGGAUCUUUUUAUUUUUUUUUAUUUUAUUUUGGUGACGGAGUCUCUCACUGUCGCCCGGGCUGAAGUGCAGUGGCGCAAUCUCAGCUCACUGCAACCUCUUUCUCCUGGGUUCACGCGAUUCUCCUGCCUCAGCCUCCCAACUAGCUGGGAUUACAGGCGCACACCACCACACCUGGCCUAUUUUUUGUAUUUUUAGUAGAGACGGGGUUUCACUAUGUUGGCCAGACUGGUCUCGAACUCCUGACCUCGUGAUCUGCCCACCUCGGCCUCCCAAAGUGCUGUGAUUACAGGCAUGAGCCACCGCACCUGGCCUGUGAUCCCAUUUUUCAAAGUAAUUAGGCUGGGUGCAGUAGCUCACGCCUGUAAUCCCAGCACUCUGGGAGGCCAAAGCGGGUGGAUCACUUGAGGCCAGCAGUUCGAGACCAGCCUGGCCAACAUGGUGAAACCCUGUGUCUACUAAAAAUACAAAAAUUAGCUCGGCAUAGUGGCACGUACCUGUACUUUCAGCUACUUGGGAGGUUGAGGCAGGAGAAUUCGCUUGAACCCGGGAGGCAGAGGUUGCAGUGAGCCAAGAUGGCACCACUGCACUCCAUUCUGGGUGACAGAGUGAGACCCUGUCUCAAAAAUAAUGAUAAUAAAAUAAAAGUAAUUAUUUAAGGCUGGGAGCGGUGGCUCAUGCCUGUAAUCACAGCACUUUGGGAGGCCGAGGUGGGUGGAUCAUGAGGUCAGGAGGUCGAGACCAUCCUGUCUAACACAGUGAAACCCUGUCUCUACUAAAAAUACAAAAAAAUUAGCCAGGCAUGGUGGCGGGCGCCUGUAGUCCCAGCUACUCGGGAGGCUGAGGCAGGAGAAUCGCUUGAACCCAGAAGGCGGAGGUUGCAGUAAGCCGAGAUCACACCACUGCACUCCAGCCUGGGUGACAGAGCGAGACUCCGUCUCAAAAAAAAUUAUUAUUAUUAUUUAAAAUAAUCAUUGGGCCUGGUGCGGUGGCUCACACCUGUAAUCCUAGCACUUUGGGAGGCCAAGGCGGGCGGAUCACGAGGUCAGGAGAUUGAGAUCCAACCUGGCCAACAUGGUGAAACCCCAUCUCUACUAAAAAUAUUUUUUUAAUUAGCUGGGCGUGGCGGCGGGCACCUGUAAUCCCAGCUAGUCGGGAGACUGAGGCAGGAGAAUCGCUUGAACCUGGGAGUCGAAGGUUUCAGUGAGCCGAGGUCGUGCCACUGCAAUCCACCUGGCCAACAGAGCAAGACUCUGUCUCUAAAAUAAUAAUUUUUAUUAUUGUUAUUCUUGACAGGCCAGUGUAGAACAGGUGGGGCAUCUAUGGUGACAGAACUGGGUUCCAAUUCUGUCCCUUCACCUGUCCCAGGUUCCUCAUCUGAAAACUGUGACCCAGUAAACCUAAUUUCAUGAGCAGCUUUCAUUAAAAUUGAAAUAAUGGUGGAAAAUGCCUUGUAACCGUGCUUGAUGUAGAGUAGUUACUUAGCCAGUUAUUUCCUCUCUUCUUCCCAUUCCUAACAAAAUGGAAAAACGUUUGGUUGCUAGGAAAGAGCCUUAAGGGGAUUUUGUUGUUGUUUGACUCUAUCGCCCAGGAUGGAGUGCAAUGGCACAAUCUCUGCUCAGUGCAACCUCCGCCAUAGACAGGAGCCAAGCGUAGUGGUGUGCACCUGUCGGUAGUUCCAGCCUCUUAGGAGGCUGAGGCAGGAGGAUUGCUUGAGGCCAGGAGUUUGAGUCUAGCUUGGGCAAUAUAUUGAAACCUUGUCUCUUAAAAAAAAAAAAAAAAAAGAGGCCAGGUGUGGUGGCUCACACCUGUAAUCCCAGCACAUUGGGAGGCCGAGGCAGUGGAUCACUUGACACCAGGAGUUCGAGACCAGCCUGGGCAACAUGCAAACUUAUGUCUUUUAGGCCGGGCGCGGUGGCUCACACCUGUAAUACCAGCACUUUGGUAGGCCGAGGCGGGCAGAUCACGAGGUCAGGAGAUCGAGACCAUCCUGGCUAAGAUGAAACCCAGUCUCUACUAAAAAUAAAAAAAAAUUAGCCGGGUGUGGUGGCUGGCGCCUGUAGUCCCGGCUACUUGGGAGGCUGAGGCAGGAGAAUGGCAUGAACCCAGGAGGUGGAGUUUGCAGUAAGCCAAGACAGCACCACUGCACUCCAGCCCAGGCAACAGAGCUAGACGCCCUCUCAAAAAAAAAAAAAAAUUACAUCUUUAAAAAAAAAUGCAGGGCCGGGUGCGGUGGCUCAUGCCUGUAAUCCCAGCACUUUGGGAGGCCGAGGCGGGCGAAUCACGAGGUCAGGAGAUCGAGAGCAUCCUGGCUAACACAGUGAAACCCUGUCUCUAGUAAAAAUACAAAAAAUUAGCCAGGCGUGGCAGCAUGCGUCUGUAGUCCCAGCUGCUGGGGAGGCUGAGGCAGGAGAAUGGCGUGAACCCAGGAGGCAGAGCUUGCAGUGAGCCAAGGUCCCGCCACUGCACUCCAGCCUGGGCGACAGAGCGAGACUCGGUCUCAAAAAAUAAUAAUUAACAAAAAAAAAAAAAUACAAAAGUUAGUUGCACAUGUUGCCAUAUGCUCGUGGUCCCAGCUACUCAGCAGGCUGAGGUUGGGAGAUCACUUGAGCCCAGAAGGUGGAGGUUGCAGUGAGCUGAGAACCCACCAUUGUACUCCAGCCUGCGUGUCAGUGAGAUUCUGUCUCAAAAAAAAAAAGAAAAGAAAAAAAAUCUAGGCUAUGCUCCCUAGUAUGGGAAAUCUAGUCUAGUCAUUUGACAGAAUCAGGCUUUGCAGGCCAUAUUGUCUCUGUCGUAACUACCAACUCUGCUGGUUAAAAGGGAAGUAGCCACAAACAAUAUCUGAAUGAUGGAUUAUGGCUGUGUUCCAAUAAAACUUUAUUUGCAAAAACAGGUUGCUGGUUGCAAGGUAGUUUUCCAACCUCUACGUGAUUCUCAGACUUUAGGUUGCAUCAUAAUCACCUGGAGGGCUUGUUCAAACGCAGAUUGCUGGGCCCCACCCCCAGAAUUUUUGAUUCAGCCAGUCUGGGGUGGGGCUGAUAUUUGUAUUUCUACCAACUUUCCAGGUGAGGCUGGCUGAUGAUGGUCUGGAAACCACUUUGAAAACCUCUGAAGCUUUUCUCAACUCCCUUCUUUGUGUACCUAAAACACUUUAUCCCUACUGUAGAUGUAGCAUUAGCGUGUUAUAUUAGUUUAGUGAUUGGUGUGUGGGUCUCUGGGAGCCUUUCUGAAUCACCUCCCUAGCCUAGUGCCUGACAAUAGCAAUUUGCUCCCCAUUCAUUGACUGAACUGAAACCGGAGGGUCAUGGUCAUCAUCAUUGUUCCAAGCCAUAGAUAGAAGAUGAAGUCACCACCCCUGAUCUCAGAGCUCAUCAGAGUAGAGCUUGGGCUGGACCCUGCCCUUCUCUGCAGUGAGCAGUUUUCUCUGUGGAGCUCUGUGCAACCUGGAGCCAGUCCUGCCUGGGGUAAGAGGAAAAAAGACUCCUUCCCCCCAGCCCCACAGCCUGUACGCAAACACACCGGGAGACAUGACCUGCUCAGAGGAGACCUGGAACCAAGGGAAUAAAAUGAGAGUGGGUUGGGGGCUGCUGUUAGUUAUUUUUUGCUUGUAAGUGGACAAUUUGUGGUGUGGUGUGUGAAUUUGGGGUCUUAAAUCCAGAUAGCUGUCUGCUGUGGACAGCCACUGUUUCUGAAUUACAGGGCAUUUCAAGUGACCUGUGGUCAGGAUGUUUUCUCAGAUCAGGCAAAAUCAAUUGGUCCUGAUAAUAACCAGGGGAGUUGUACUUUCCCUAUCUUGAGUAGAAGAAGCCACAGCUCCCGGGUCCACCUGCCUCUCCUGACUGCCCACCUCCUGGCUUUUUCUUUUUCUUUUUUUUUUUUUUUUUUUUGAGACGGGGUCUUGCUCCAUUGCCUAGGCUGGAGUGCAGUGGUGCGAUCUCAGCUCACUGCAACCUGGGCCUCCUGGGUUCAAGAGAUUCUCCUGCUUCAGCCUAGCGAGGAGCUGGGAUUACAGACGCGCGCCACCUCGCCCAGCUAAUUUUUUUAUAUUUUUAGUAGAGACGGGGUUUCACCGUGUUAGCCAGGAUGCUCUCGAUCUCCCGACCUCGUGAUCUGCCCGCCUCGGCCUCCCAAAGUGCUGGGAUUACAGGUGUGAGCCACCGUGCCCGGCCGGCCUCCUGGCUUUUAUCCUGGGGGCACUGCAAGUAGAGCCAGGCAUGUGGCCCAUGCAUCCUUCCCAGCCUCUUUCCUGCUGGGCAUGGAGGAGGAGGCACUGCCAGGAGCUCCCCACAGACAGGCGCUGCUUACUGAUGGGUUGGCUGCAAACUGUAGGCAUAACAGUUACCUUCCUCUUCACAACCCCCAGGCCUGACGAGGCUUACAUGGGAAUUGCUUUGAUUUGUGAAGUCUUAAGACUAUACUGCUGGGCGAGGUGGCUCAAGCCGGUAAUCCCAGCACUUUGGGAGGCUGAGGCGGGCGGAUCACGAGGUCAGGAGAUCAAGACCAUCCUGGCUAACACAGUGAAACCCUGUCUCUACUAAAAACACAAAAAAUUAGCCGGACAUGGUGGGGGGGUGCCUGUAGUCCCAGCUACUUGGGAGGCUGAGGCAGGAGAAUGGCACGAACCCGGGAGGCAGAACUUGCAGUGAGCCGAAAUCACACCACUGCACUCUGCACUCCAGCCUGGGUGACAGAGCGAGACUCUGUCUUAAAAAAAAAAAAAAAAAGACUAUACUACCUAAUCUUCCAUGCCUCGCUCUUUCCACAUUAAUAGACAAAACCAGGAAAAAGGACUGCUUCCCCUCCAGCUCUUGAUUGGGCUCCAUAAGAACUGCCAAAAGGCCAGGCAGCAUUUGCUACUCUUCUGGGGUUCACUUCUGAAAGGUGCGACCCUGCAACCUAGAGCACAGGGAAGUUAGGACAGCAAAGGAGCUGGGCUGAGCCGACGCUGGCUUAGAACUCUUUCUGAUACUCCCUGUUCCCGCCAGCUCGUUAGCCCAGCCUGCCAAUCAGUUUUGCAUCAAUAAACUUUAUGUUCUGAGGUUGGCCAGAUGAAUGAGAGGAGAGCAGCUAAAGACUGAUCUCUGACCUUGGCACGUAAACAGCCUCCAGAUUGGACUUGACAGUUAAUAAAGGAAAGGCCCUGCAAUUCUCUGAUGUCUUUUUGCCUUAAUUAGAUUGAGCAUUCAAAGGCUAUGGGGAAAUCUUCCAUUUGAAGAGAAAGACCUCACAAGACAGGAAGUCACUUCACUCAUUCAUUCUUUCAGACUGUCAAUCAUUCGGUCUACAGUCACUGGCAUUUGUCAAAUGCCCUAUUACCUGUGCUCAGCACUAUGCUAACUGCUUUUGAGUCGAGUGGCUGCAAGAAUUCCAGAAGUCCAUGCCGUGCUCUUCUGGAAGACUGCACAGCCAGGCAGUCAAGAGCACAAGCUUCAGUUUAACAUAUCUGAGCUCAAAUCCUGAUUCUGCCAUGUGACUUUUGGCAAGUUAUUUAAACUCUCUGCCUUUAGUUUCCUCUUGGAGUAAAUAAUACCAACUUCCACAGGUUGUCAUCAAGGCCAAGUGAGACCAUCUGUGUAAAGUGGGCAGCACAGAGCCUGGUCGUUGGCAGGUGCCUGGUGGCCAUGAACAUGACAGUGCCUGCACUUGGCUGAACUGUCAGGCCGAAAAGCCUCCCUUCCUUCCUUCUCUCACCUCCCCCAUUCCUGGCAUGCUGCCAGUCACUGGGGAGCUGAUGAUGACUCACAAUCCCUGCCCUCAGUGAUAUUAUAAAUCUAUUGUUGGCCGAGCACUGUGGCACAAUGCUUGUAAUCCCAGCACUUUUGGGAGGCUGAGGCAGAAGGAUCACUUGAGGCCAGAAGUUUGAGACCAGCUUGGGCAACAUACCAGGAUACCAUCUCUACCGAAAAUUUAAAAAUUAGCCAGGCAUGGUGGUGUGCACCUGUAGUCCUAGCUACUUGGGAGUUGGGAGGCUAAGGCAGAAGGAUCGUUUGAGCCUCGCAGUUCAGGGUUACGGCCUGGGUGAAAGAGGGAGACCCUGUCCCUUUAAAAAUAAAAAUAAACUAUUGGCCAGGCAUGGUGGCUCACGGCUGUAAUACCAGGACUUUGGGAGGCUGAGGCAGGUGGAUCACUUGAGGCCUGGAGUUCAAGACCAGCCUGGCCAACAGAGUGAAACCCUGUCUCUACUAAUAAUACAAAAAAUUAGCCAGGCGUGGUGGCACAUGCCUAUAAUCCCAGCUACUCAGGAGGCUGAGGCAGGAGAAUUGCUUGAACCUGGGAGGCAGAGGUCGCAGUGAGCCGAGAUCGCACUGCUGUACUCCAGCAUGGACCACAGUGGGAGACUCCCUCUCAAACGCGCGCGUGCACACACACACACACACACACACACACACACACCAAAAAACAGGACGGCCGGGCACAGUGGCUCCUGCCUGUAAUCCCAGCACUUUGGGAGGCCGAGGUGGGCAGAUCAUGAGGUCAGGAGUUUGAGACCAGCCUGGCCAAUAUGGUGAAACCCUGACUCUACUAAAAAUACAAAAAUUAGCCGGGCAUCAUGGCACGUGCCAAUAGUCCCAGCUACUUGGGAGGCUGAGGCAGAAAAAUCGCUUGAACCUGGGAGGUGGGAGGUUGCAGUGAGCGGAGAUCAUGCCACUGCACUCCAGCCUGGGCAAUAGAGUGAGACUCAGUCUCAAAAAAAAAAAAAAGAAAGAAAGAAAGAAAUCCCUGAACCCUUUCACGCUAUAUUUGCUCGCACGUACAGGUUUCUUCAGUGUUAACCGUGUUCAUCACAUUGAUGUGCUGUUUCACUUCAUGCUGUGUGAUGUGAACUUCAGCCAGAGCAAGGAGAAAGCAGUAUAUACUCUGAAAAGGACCCCGCACCGUGUUCACCCAAACAGCACCUUCUCAUGCAUCUCAGAGCCUUCGGCCUCUGGGCCACCUCCUCACUCCCCCAGGGGUGCUCUGAAGCCUUAAGCAGUCUGCUUUUCUUUUUCUUUUCUUUCUUUCUUUUUUUUUUUUUAACAGAGUCUCGCUCUUGUUGCCCAGGCUGGAGUGCAGUGGUGUGAUCUUGGCUCACUGCAACCUCUGCCUCCCGGGUUCAAGCGAUUCUCCUGCCUCAGCCUCCCGAGUAGCUGGGAUUACAAGCAUGCGCCACCACACCUGGCUAAUUUUGUAUUUUUAGUAGAAAUGGGGUUUCUCCAUGUUGGUCAGGCUGGUCUCCAACUCCCGACCUCAGGUGAUCCACCUGCGUCAGCCUCCCAAAGUGUUGGGAUUACAGGUGUGAGCCACCACACCUGCCUCUCUUUUUUUUCUUUUUCUUUUCUUUUCUUUUUUUUUUUUUUUUUGAGAAGGAUUCUCGCUCUGUCACCCAGACUGGAGUGCAGUGGCGAGAUCUGGGCUCACUGCAACCUCCACCUCCCGGGUUCAAGCGAUUUUCCUGCCUCAGCCCUCUGAGUAGCUGAGACUACAGAUGCCCACCACCACGCCCACCUAAUUUUUUGUAUUUUUAGUAAAGACGGGGUUUCACCGUGUUAGCCAGGAUGGUCUCACUCUCCUAACCUCAUGAUGUGCCUGCCUCGGCCUCCCAAAGUGCUGGGAUUAUAGGCGUGAGCCACCGUGCCUGGCCAGCAGUCUGCCUUUCAUGUGCCUCUUUGUAUUUACUGGUUUUUUUGUUUUUGUUUUUUGGUUUUUUUUUUUUUUGGAGACAGAGUCUCACUCUGUCACUCAGGAUGCUGGAGUGCAGUGGCACAAUCUUGGCUCACUGCAGUCUCUGCCUCCUGGGUUCAAGCAAUUCUCCUGCCUUGGCCUCCUGAGUAGCUGGGACUACAGGCACAUGCCACCACACCCGGCUAAUUUUUGUAUUUUUAUUAGAUACAGGGUUUCGCCAUAUUGGUCAUGCUGGUCUCGAACUCCUGACCUCAGGUGAUCUGCCCACCUCAACCUCCCCAAGUGCUGGGAUUACAGGCAUGAGCCACCAUGCCUGGCCUUCUUGUAUUUAUUGGUUUUAAUCCUCAAUUAGAAACCUCUUAGGCAAUUGUCUAGUUUUUACUAGCUAUCCCUAAUUCUUUUUUUUUUAAGUGAAAUCAAGUUUAUUAAGUAAGUAAAGGAAUAAAAGAAUGGCUACUCCGCCGGGUGCAGUGGCUCACGCCGGUAAUCCCAGCACUUUGGGAGGCCGAGGCGGGGGGAUCACAAGGUCAGGAGUUCAAGACCAGCCUGGCCAAGAUGGUGAAACCUCGUCUCUACUAAAAAUACAAAAAUUAGCCAGACGUGGUGGUGGCGCAUGCCUGUAAUCCCAGCUACAUGGGAGGCUGAGGCAGAGAAUCGCUUGAACCUGGGAGGCGGAGGUUGCAGUGAGCCGAGAUCGCGCUAUUGCACUCCAGCCUGGGUGACAAGAGCAAAACUCCGUCUCAAAAAAAAAAAAAAAAAAAAGGAAUGGCUACUCCAUAGGCAGAGCAGCCGCUAUCCUUAAUUCUUAAAUAACCCAGGCUCGUGCUAUUCAGUAUAUGCUUCCCAUCACUUCCUAAAGGGACCAUGAGCGUACAGGAGUUCAGAGUCCUUUGAGAUCUCCUAGUUCAAUCUCCUCAUGUUACAGAUGGAGAAACUGAGUCUUGGAGGAGUGGGGACUUAAUCUUUCCUCUUGUCUCCCUCCCUAAACCAAUAAACAAUCUUCACCCAGAUCGUCAACACAAACCCACAAACCUCACCAGUUUUUCCCUGCGGGAACCUCCCCAUUGCUCUCCUGGCCCUUCUUAGCAGAGAGCCUCAUAUCCUACGUAGAGGAGAGAGGGGAAGUCAUCAGACAGGAACGCCCUCCACCAAGUUGCCCGUCUGACGUGUGGCCGCCCACACUGGGCAAAGGCCACCCUCCAGGCCCUCACUCUGGGCCAUCCACCUGCUCCUCCAGGAUUCUGCCCUGCACCUCUCACCCCUGGCUGACAUAAUCACCUUCUCCUCCUCCCUUCCAUGAGCAUUGCUUUCAACACACACUCAUGCUCCCAUUCUUCAAAAAAUUUAUCAAUUGUAUGAAACUUUCUCCUGACCCUGCUAGUCACCCUUCCUUUUUGUAAUUAAAAUUAAAAAAAAUUUUUUUUUGAGGCGGAGUCUCACUGUCGCCCAGGCUGGAGUGCAGUGGCGCGAUCUGCCUCCCGGGUUCAUGCCACUCCUGCCUCAGCCUCCCGAGUAGCUGGGACUACAGGCGCCCGCCACCAUGCCCAGCUAAUUUUUUGUAUUUUUAGUAGAGACGGGGUUUCACUGUGUUAGGAUGGUCUCAAUCUCCUGACCUCGUGAUCUGCCUGCCUCGGCCUCUCAAACUGCUGGGAUUACAGGCGUGAGCCACGGCGCCUGGCCUCUUUUUUUUUUUUUUUUUUUUUUGAGACAGAUUCUCGCUCUGUUGCCGAGGCUGGAGUGCAAUGGUGCGAUCCUGGCUCACCGCAACCUCCACCUCCU